GUAGGUACUGGGGGGCGAUAUGCCAUUGGGACUGCAAGUGGCCUGGACGGAACACCCUGCCAGACGAACAACAUGAUAUGCAUACGCGGUGAAUGCGUACUAGCUCCCGAAUUCACUAAGAACAAGGAGGAGAAUAAGAACAAGGAGCCGAAUGUGAAAAAAACGAACUCCCGGAAGACAGCGCAAACGACACCUACCACAACAAGAGCGACAACUAGGGUGACACCUUCAACGCCACGAAGCCGUAUUGUGACUUAUUACCAGGGCGGCAAAUGGCACACGAUUAGUGUACCGUAUUAAUCGGGGUGCCCAUGGAUAUCACACGCAAUGGCAUUGCCGAAAACGUGCAACAUUCGAUCACAGUCUAGGCCAUGUGGUCGGCUGUAGCAUUUAUAUAUUUUUGCGCAAUAAAACUAUUACGAUUACUUACA